rnacentral:rRNA from 1 species
CCUGCCCAGCAGAACGACCCGCGAACGCGUUGCUAACAAAACAUCGCGGGGGGGUGAGGAYGCAUUCGUGCCCCGAGCCCUCUCGGUGCCCCGGUGCGCGUGGCCUUGCCUCGCCACGCCUCGUAGGCGUGUGGGAUGCUCGAUCUCGUCGCUCGUGGCCGAACAACCAACCCCCGGCGCGAAUCGCGCCAAGGAAUCGAAAUCGAAGAGAGCACGCUUGCUGCCGUCGCCCCGUUCGCGGUGUUCGAGCGGCGGCAACGUGACUCCUUCCGUYGCAAAGAUGUAAAACGACUCUCGGCAACGGAUAUCUUGGCUCUCGCAUCGAUGAAGAACGUAGCGAAAUGCGAUACUUGGUGUGAAUUGCAGAAUCCCGUGAACCAUCGAGUCUUUGAACGCAAGUUGCGCCCCAAGCCAUUAGGCCGAGGGCACGUCUGCCUGGGUGUCACGCAUCGUCGCCCCCCAUCGACCCGCAGCCCCUCGGGCGUCGGUCGAAACGGGGGCGGAAAUCGGCCUCCCGUGCGCUCCCCGCUCACGGUUGGCCUAAAAUUCAGUCCCGGGCAACGACAGCCGCGCGACGAUCGGUGGUAACGCUCCGAGCCGCCUCGUCUCCGGUUGCGCGCGCUCGUCGCUCGCUCGGGCCCUCGAACCCUUUUGCAUCCCGCGAACGAUGCUCGCAUCGCGACCCCAGGUCAGGCGGGAUCACCC